UUAAAUUGAAGAGUUUGAUCAUGGCUCAGAUUGAACGCUGGCGGCAGGCCUAACACAUGCAAGUCGAGCGGAAACGAGUUAUCUGAACCUUCGGGGAACGAUAACGGCGUCGAGCGGCGGACGGGUGAGUAAUG
rnacentral:rRNA from 1 species